CAGAAAAAAAAUUAUAGUCGUGUUAACUAUAUAUAUACACUCUAAAAACAGCGGUGUGCACGUCACACCAAAUAUCUGGCACACCACACAAUUUGGUGUGACGUGCACACCUUUAGCAUGGUGUGCCAACUUUUAGGUGUGCAUGGCACACCAUGCUGUGAAUUAGGUGUGUCAUUUGGUGUGGUAACCUGAAAAUGGUGUGUCACUUUGGUGUGCUAACAAAACUGGUGUGCACCAACUGACGAAUGGUGUGCUGGAUUCACACCAUUAAAGAUGGUGUGUCAUAAUUGGUGUGCUGGAUUCACACCAGUAAAGAUGGUGUGUCAUAAUUGGUGUGCUGAAUUCACACCAUUAAAGAUGGUGUGUCAUAUAUUGGUGUGCUGGAUUCACACCUCUUUUGAUGGUGUGCUUUCUCUGAAAUGGUGUGUCAUAUCGGUGUGCUGGAUCCACCAUUAAAAAUGGUGUGCUGGAUUCUCUUUUUAUGAAUCAAGUACAACUGGAUACUCGUAGAGAUGAAGUCUUGGUGAUGAAUAAACACAAAACAAUAUACCCGUGAAGAAAACAGAAGUGAAGUCCUUGUGAUGAAGAAACAGAACAGGCAAUAUACUCCUGAAGAAAACAGAAAUGCAAAGUCCUUGUGAUGAAGAAACAGCAGAACUGAGAAACAGAACAAACAUGUAUGACAUUGUAGAAUAGUUUACUUUUAUUAUUCUUUUUGUACAAUUUUGGCCUGUUUUUGGCAGUGUGCAAUUCACACCAGUACUGAAAUAGCACACUAAUUUAGGUGUGACCCUCACACCGUUAAUAA